UCCAUCCUCGGGGUUUGGUGAACAGAGGAACUGAGCCCAGAGACUCUGUAAGUAUCAUGAUUUAUAAUAAAACAUUUGUCUGAUAACUACAUUGUAUGUGUGUGACUUCCCUCUAAUCAAACGAACACGGCGGACUGGAGAAUUGAGAACAGAAUAAGGUGAUCAACGUUGCUCCGCCAACAAUUUGGUGACCCCGACGUGAUUUGAGGAAGUCAAUUGAUAAAACCCGAGAGAGGGGAAGGAAAAAGAGAUCGACAAAGGAGUGGUUUCUCCAAUGCAGACCGGUCAACUAAAAGGUAAGCAGCGACCUUUUAUAAUAAAACAACUGCAUAUUGGAUAAGAACAAUUAAUUGAAGAUCCGACUCCGGCAUUGAUCUCAUAAAACAAAUUUAAUUCUAAAAGUGUAAUAUCAGACAAAAAAAAGAGAAAAAAUAAAAUAAAAUAAAGAGGUUAAAGUCCUCUGAGUGAAUGAUAAACAGGUUAAAGUCCUGCCAAAAGAGGUUAAAGUCCUCUGAGUGAAUGAUAAACAGGUUAAAGUCCUGCCAAAAGAGGUUAAAGUCCUCUGAGUGAAUGAUAAACAGGUUAAAGUCCUAAAGAGGUUAAAGUCCUCUGAGUGAAUGAUAAACAGGUUAAAGUCCUAAAGAGGUUAAAGUCCUCUGAGUGAAUGACAAAGAGGUUAAAGUCCUAAAGAGGUUAAAGUCCUCUGAGUGAAUGAUAAACAGGUUAAAGUCCUGCCAAAAGAGGUUAAAGUCCUCUGAGUGAAUGAUAAAGAGGUUAAAGUCCUCUGAGUGAAUGAUAAAGAGGUUAAAGUCCUAAAGAGGUUAAAGUCCUCUGAGUGAAUGAUAAACAGGUUAAAGUCCUGCCAAAAGAGGUUAAAGUCCUCUGAGUGAAUGAUAAAGAGGUUAAAGUCCUCUGAGUGAAUGAUAAACAGGUUAAAGUCCUCUGAGUGAAUGAUAAACAGGUU